rnacentral:rRNA from 1 species
CCUACGGGAGACAGCAGUCGAGAAUCAUUCACAAUGGGGGAAACCCUGAUGGUGCGACGCCGCGUGGGGGAAUGAAGGUCUUUGGAUUGUAAACCCCUGUCAUGUGGGAGCAAAUUAAAAAGAUAGUACUACAAGAGGAAGAGACGACUAACUAUGUGCGAGCAGCCGCGGUAAUACAGAGGUCUCAAGCGUUGGUCGGAAUCACUGGGCGUAAGGCGUGCGUAGGCUGUUUUGUAAGUCGUGUGUGAAAGGCGCGGGCUCAACCCGCAGACGGCACAUGAUACUGGGAGACUAGAGUAAUGGAGGGGGAACCGGAAUUCGCGGUGUAGCAGUGAAAUGCGUAGAUAUCGAGAAGAACACUCGUGGCGAAGGCGGGUUCCUGGACAUUAACUGACGCUGAGGCACGAAGGCCAGGGGAGCGAAAGGGAUUAGAUACCCUGGUAGUC